AAACGCUUGAAGUCAGUCGCAUUGGCUGGGGAUCAACCUUACUUGUGAGGUGUACUCUCUAGUCAAUGGGUCAGCAUCAAUUUUGACUGCUGGAAAAAGGUCUGGGGAAUGUGGCAUCUCCGGAUGUGUUAUAGCCCCUGAUCAUAUACAGUGGUUGGGAUUGAGGAACUCAGCACGCCGCAAGGCCGGGUAUCUACCACGUUCGUGCUUAGGAUGCUGGCAUAAUGGCUUUAAUCGA
rnacentral:rRNA from 1 species